UUUCAUGGCAGAUCCUAAAACUAAUCAUGCAACCCUAAAAUUGAAAAUUGGAAAUAAAUACAGUGCUUUUUAGGGUUUGUUUUGGUGUGUUGUAAUAAUUUAUAAAAAAAUAUAAAAAAACAAUAAAUAAUAAUAAUAAUAUAAAAAAAGAGAUUUAUUUUUCCCCUUUUUCCCUCUCCCCUUCCCCUCCCUCUAUUUGCCUUCCUCCCUCUUCUCCCUUUUCCCCCGUCACUGACAGCUCCCCUCUCCCUCCCCACCUGCACCGAUCGAGCCGUUGACGCCGUCCAGCCCCUCUCCCUUCCUCCCGCUGUCGCGCCGCCCUUCCCUUUCUCCUUCCCUUCCACUGCGACAUUGACUAUACGAGGAAAGCCUCCCUCCUCGCCACCGAGCCGCUGCCAUCCUUCCUUGCCGCUGUCGGAAUCGAGCUCCCCAUCACUGAAACCCCGAAAACAAGCCUCCUUCGCCGUUUUCCACCGCCGACAGCCUUGAAGGAGCUUCAUAGGAACCGAGACUUUUCGGCCCUGAUCCGGUGCUUUCUAGCGAGUUUCCAACCGAAACUCUUGUAUUUUUGGACUCCUUGCAACUUGAGCUUUCCGGCAUGCCCUUUCGGAUUCGAAUUUCGACAUUAUUGGUAGGACCGGCUUCUAGACACUGGUGUUUUCCACACGCCCAAAAUUUUGAAAUUUCGGCUCGAUAAUCUGUCCAUCCCGCCAGCUCCACCCGAGGCGUAGAAGCAGACUGCAAAGCGCGACAGAACUUGACAAUAGAAUAUUGCCACCUAAUGGGUUACAUCAGGACCGCGUGCGCACCAGUUAUUUUUGGAUUUUGCCCUGGUCGAGUAUAACUUUCUGGAAAAGGUUGACUGCCGAAAAAAGGUCCAUGGUCGAGCAAUGCUCUUUAGACGCUGCUUAAUUAGGAAUCAAGUGUCCAGGCUGGAUGUAAGGACCUUGGUUGAGCUUUGCUCUCUAGGCGCCAGACCUAUUGGAAUAAGAGAGCCAAAAGGCUACUAGCAUUUUAGGUGACACUUAGAGUUCUUCGCCUCCUGCAUUUUGACAGUCUGACUUUCUUCUCCAUCAAGCCUAUUGUAAUGAAUUUAUACUUUUGUAUUUUGAAUAAUUUAAAAAUUCUAGAUUUUCUGCAGUAGUAUCUUGAUAUGUUAUGUUUAACCUAAUCUAUAACAAACGUGAAAUGUUAUCAAUGACCGGUUAGAGAUUUGUGUAUGGCAUGUCAGACAUGAUUAAUAUUAUGUUUUCA